rnacentral:snRNA from 1 species
AUACCUUAAACUUAUAAGUCAGGAAAAUAAUGGUUCAGGAUGAUCGAUGCCAGAAUCCUACCGCCAAUGUGUGAGUAAUUUUUUGAGAUGGUAAAGGCUGUCCCUAAGGUGACUCACUUACUUUGCAGGAUGCCUGGUUAUAGUUAUCUUCCUG